rnacentral:rRNA from 1 species
CUCGUAGGCGGCCAACUAAGUCAGACGUGAAAUCCCUCGGCUUAACCGGGGAACUGCGUCUGAUACUGGAUGGCUUGAGGUUGGGAGAGGGAUGCGGAAUUCCAGGUGUAGCGGUGAAAUGCGUAGAUAUCUGGAGGAACACCGGUGGCGAAGGCGGCAUCCUGGACCAAAUCUGACGCUGAGGAGCGAAAGCCAGAGGAGCAAACG